rnacentral:rRNA from 1 species
CCCAGACUCCUACGGGAGGCAGCAGUGGGGAAUAUUGCACAAUGGGGGGAACCCUGAUGCAGCGACGCCGCGUGGGUGAAGGAGUACUUCGGUACGUAAAGCCCUAUCAGCAGGAAAGAAAAUGACGGUACCUGACUAAGAAGCCCCGGCUAACUACGUGCCAGCAGCCGCGGUAAUACGUAGGGGGCAAGCGUUAUCCGGAUUUACUGGGUGUAAAGGGAGCGUAGACGGCAGUGCAAGUCCGGAGUGAAAGCCCGGGGCUCAACCCUGGGACUGCUCUGGAAACUGUAAAGCUGGAGUGCGGGAGGGGCAGGCGGAAUUCCUGGCGUAGCGGUGAAAUGCGUAGAUAUCAGGAGGAACACCGGCGGCGAAGGCGGCCUGCUGGACCGUAACUGACGUUGAGGCUCGAAAGCGUGGGGAGCAAACAGGAUUAGAUACCCUUGUA